rnacentral:misc_RNA from 1 species
AUGUCGGAUUCUAUUUACACAAAUGACUUUCUACUCGAGCCAGGCGUAGAUAUAAAACAGGAGUCCCCUUUUGAGUUGGGCUCUAUGACCGCCUCGGUGCCAAUCCCUCAACGGCGCGCCGAUCUCGGCGACUUCAAUACAGACUUGGACCUCUGCCUCCAGGACAACCUGACAGGCUCCUUCCACAAUGUACCAACUAUGCAGUACAACAAGUUCGAAAGCGACACAUCCUCCAAAAUGGACACAUUUAAAAUGGAUGAUGAUGAUAUAUUUCAAGUGGACAAAGCUGACUUAAUUCUUGGGCCAACUUUAGCAGAAUUGAAUGCAAACCCAGAUACACUUCUAGAUGAUUUAAAUUUCGAUGAUUUGCUUCUGCCAGAAGAGAGUGGGUAUUGUGUGCAAAUAGGUGGGGCUAUGAGUGGCUCCCGUGGCAUGAAUAAUGUACAGAUAAACAAUACAAUACCUGCAGAUAGCCCAUGCAGUCCCUAUGGCAGAGCCCAGCUUGCAUUCUCUCCUGCAAGUCAACACAGCUCUGCUUCUUCUAGCUUUGCCCAGCCUGUGAAUCAAUUACCAGAAUUAUUGCUACGAAUGGAUGGUUAUAGCGGUGAAAUUGCACUGGGACAAUCAGUUCCUGCAUCAACAGUUUUGCCACCAUAUCCUAUUAGUGUAAAGCCACAACACACACAACUGUCUUCAUCAGCUCCCACUCACCUCACUAUGGAACAGAUAUGGCAGCGUCGUGAGCCACGUAAACAUCUUCUAUCUACAAGUUCUCUGGCAGAGGCGGGAUCUGCAUCGUCUCUUUCUGGUGGCUUAUUGAGUCCUGGUACAGGAGAGUUCUCCCAGGAUGAGGAUGAUAGAGAUGUAGAAUCUGAUGAUGACAGUGACCGUUAUGAAGAUCUUUCUUCAGAUGAUUCCAAUGAUGAAUCAGAGACAAAGCAAGCACGGAUGAAUGCCAAAAAAGAAAGAUUUUUCUGGCAAUACAAUGUUCAAGCCAAAGGACCCAAGGGUCAGCGGUUGGUUUUGAACAAGAAAUCAGAGGAUCCACAUAUUUUAAAUUCAGUCACAGAUCCCGUAUUCAGCCCAAGUUGUAGUGUUAGGGGCAUAAAACACAGUGGCAAAGCAAGGAAAGGUGAUGGAAAUGAUUUGACUCCAAACCCAAGGAAAUUAUAUUUGAUAGGUAAAGAGUUGGACAAUUUGGGAAAAGUAAUAAAUGAUAUGAUACCUGUCAGUGAGCUGCCUUUCAAUAUAAGGCCAAAAACAAGAAAAGAGAAAAAUAAAUUGGCUUCACGUGCUUGUAGAUUAAAGAAGAAAGCACAACAUGAGGCCAAUAAAAUAAAAUUACAUGGUUUAGAACAAGAACACAAGCGACUUUUACAUGGUAUUAAACAAAUGAAACACAUUAUUAGUAACAGGAUGACUAAUUCACAAAAUGAUGUUGAUUGGAAUUCCCAUAUAAAUAAUGUCGUCAAAACAGCAACAGAGGUAAAUAUAGCUGGAAAGACAUCGGAGUUUGUUAAUAAAAUCUUGGACAAUGUCAAAUCGGGUCAAAAUAAUGGCGGCAUAAAUGAUAUUUAAGGUAAAACAAAAUAAAUUACAGAUGUGAAUAUAAAAACGAAAGGCUGUUCUAUGUACCUCCAAAGUUAUUUAGAGAAAAGAGUUUUAUGUUACGUCUUAUGAAAGCUUAAUUGUCCAAGACAAUUUUAUUUUUGUAUGGUAAUAUAGAAUUAGUCACUAGACGCUUAACUGAAGCAACCAUAAUAUUUUGUAAGGAAAUCGAUUAAAGGUUUUAACUGUAACAUAUAGAUGAUAAUACCAUAAAUAGAUUUAAGUCAUAUUCUGUUUAAAAUGUAGGCGUUCAAUAGAAUUACACUACACGAAACAAAAAUUAAAUAAUGAUGUGACAUCAAUAUAUUACCCACAUUGAAUGUGUAUACAGAUUACAGACUACCAUCGGCUUAAUCGUAUAUCGCGGGAUCGAAAUAAAUAGAUAAUAAGAUACUAUAUUUAAUGUUAUGAGUAAACCACAUAACUUCCAAAUUUAAUAUUGUAAUACAAUGUUUGAAAUUCUUUAUUACUGUAAUCGAAAUUGCCUAAUCAAUAAUGAUUAUUUUUUAGAAUACUAGGCCAGCAUUUAUUGUAGGCGAUUAUGUAAUAUUAUAUUCUCAUAAGCAAUAUAUUUAAAAGCCUCGGUAAUCGGCAGCGUGCUAAACGAAGUUUCUACAUGUUACCUUUAUAUAAAAAGCAAUUUAAUUGGGAUUUAUUAUUAAAAAUGCUUAUUAUGAUAUAAUAAAAAGUUAAUUUACCAAGUAAAUUUUUAUUUAAUGGCACUGUGAUCGUGUAAUGAAGCCAUUAUAAAAAACGAAGUAACAUACCGUCAUUGUUUGCGUAAAAUGGAUAAAAAGUUAUAUCUUUUUGAAUGUUUCUUAUAUAGCAAUUGAAACCAAUCGACAAAUUGGAAAUGUGUGAAAUAAGUUUACAAAUUAGUCAUCAAAAUCUACUAAAUUCGAAUUUUUCUUUAAAUGUUGCUAUGGAGCAUUGAUAUUUCAAUAUUUUUUUAUUACAAUUUAUUAUACUUGAAAAUAUUGAUAAAGGAAGGUGUGCCAUUUUUUUUGAAACAAAUGUUCCAAACAGUCCCGAGGCUAGGGUUAUCACUUUUAUUAGGUAUAACUAGUUUUUGCUUGCGGUUCGUUUAUUGAAUAGUGAAAACAUUAUAAAAAAAAUAUAUAAUAAAAUCUUAUUGCGAACUUGCAUUUCUAUAAUCGCGUAUAGUUUUCGCUUUAUCCGAAACCAUGGUUUUACACGCGGAGUCUUGGGCAUAUAGCAGUACUGUCUAUUUUGAAGGUUCAUAUUAUUAAUAAGCUUUAUCGCCCGUAUGCAUACAUAUUAUUAGAGUUCUGAAUUAGUGAUAUUUAUACAAAUAUAAUUGCCUAAAUAUAAUAUAUUUUAUAUAAGUCAGUUUUAUAAUAUUUCCAAAUAAUUACCGCAUUAGAUUUAUAUUUUUAAUUGCCAUUAUUAAUAUAAGAUCCAUUCAUACAGCAUGAUCUGCAUCAUAUUAGUAGUUGAGAAAUAGGAUAUACUUAUUGUAGAACUUAUGCUAUAGGCUAUAAAUGUGUUAUUUUGUAAUACCCUAGUUGUGCACCUCAUUUUAUAUUGUGGUCCGUGCACAAAAGCUAGUCACAUCCUGAGGUAUACGAGCGACAAGGGAGGCGGCUGUGUCAUUUGGACCUUGUGCAAAAAUGGUCAUACCCAAAAAGUAGUCAAAAUUCAAAUAUUUAUUGUAAACUAUCAAAAAUAACAUAUAUUAUUUGGUGAUUUUAUUCUAGUAAUGUAAUUCAGUUCUAACCCCAUGAAGGAAUAAAAAUAUGUUUCUAUUGCAUACAUAACAAAUCAUUAUCAACAUUUUGAAAGAAUUACUUUGUAUAGUUAGAUUGCCAGUUUCUAGGUAGGAUCAUUUCUGCGAACUCGGUCCAUUUAUUAGCUCUCAUGGUAUUCUGUCGUCCCGUCUUUCUGGGGUUAAUAUUACAUCUAUUACUAGAUAUGUAUAAGAGAAUGAAAUUCUGAAACAUUACUAAUAUUUAUUCUAUUAGAAAUUGUUUGAUAAUUACAUUCUAUUAUAAAAAAAAAAAUAUUUUCCUAAUUGCGAUUGGUUCAACGAACAAACAUACCAUCUGCCGCACCCUUCGCUUAGGUUGGAUUGCGCGUCUAUUUUUAAAAGUUGGUAAUUGAGCGGUGAAGUGGAAAGGAUUUAAAUAAUAUUUUAUAUAUACAUCAAUAUCCCAAAUACUUUUUAACUGGCUCCAAAGAAGGUCUAUUCGUCAUAUUUUUUCUAUUUUACUUUGUUCAGCGAUAAUUGUAACCCUGUAGGCCGAUUAUGAUUAUUUUUGUGUUCGAUUUCGCAUACGUUCGGAAUGGUCCCUUUUUAAUUUCAUUGGUAUAGGACCUAGGACUUUGAAGAUGCAGCGGGAUACUGCUCAAAAUAAUAACGACUUUCAUUAUUCUUGGGUCCAAAACAGCUUCGAGAUACUCCUUUUAUUAACAAAAAAGAAAAAAAUAUAAACCUGUUAAUAUAAAAAUAACGACUCAACAAAUCACUAUAGUACAAAAAUAAUUGAACUGUAUAUGUAUAUGGAUUUAUAAAAAAAUACUAAAACACAAGCAAUGUUAUUUAUUCUUCGAUUCGUGUUUUUAUAUUUAUAUGCACACAAUUUAUUUUUUGAGUCGGGUGUAAUUUUAUGCUAGCUAUAUGAAGUUAAAACUCGAAUAAAUAUUCAAUUCAAAUUAGGCACCUUUGCAGACAUAAAAAUACGAAUUGGGACGAAGAUAAUAACACUGGAUAAAAAAAAUAUAUGUUAUUAAUCCUCAUGUAAAGUUUUUGGAUUGUAGUGGUUUUCGGGGUCAGUUGUUUUUCGUUAAAAAGUUUUUAUAAUGGUUCCUUUUGUUUCCGAAAUUGUUAGUAAUUUAAUAUAUUUAUUAUUUUAAUAAUAAUGGUGUAUGUUAUAGGGUAAUAUACAUACCUAAUUACAUUUUUUUUUGUUAUCGUCUCUAAUGAAGUUUUUAAUGGAGUCCAGGUCAUACUAAUCUACAUGGUAUUGUAUUGAAGUUUAAUAAAUUAUAAUCAGUGCAGACUAGCUUAGCUAGAUUUUAGCAAGUGAGUAUAAAUAGAUAUAUAAGGUAUAUGUUAAGAUUUAACAAAGUUAAGUUUUUAACGUAAAGUGGGUUUGAGACAUUUAUUAAUAUUUAUAACAUGCAUAGUUUAUUGUAAAAUAUGUUUGCUUGUUAGGUUUUAAAAUUUGAUGAACAACUUGAUUUUUUUAAUAUACUUUGUGUUUUGUGUCUAGUCGUAAAUUUAUUACAAUUAAAAAUAAUUAUAAGUAUAUAUUUCCUUUUAUGAAUUUCUUGGAAAGCCUAAUACUCUGGCCGAUGUGGAAAAAUUCAAAGCAUAGCAUUAUUGGAUACUUAUAUUAAAAAGAAUGAUUAUAUUUAACAUAACAUGAAUAUUGCGUACAUUUACAACAUUUUCUGUAGUAGUAGGCAUCAGGGAGCGACCGACAUACGCCGAAUUUUUAUUAAUACAAAAGGUAAAGCUUGACGAAAUUUUAAUUUGUUUUUGGGAUAAAAUAUAACAAAUGUUAAAAAUUUGUGCAAUGGAUUGUGCUACUGAUUCUCGACAAACUAAUCUCGGGUUUGUAAUAUACUAAAAAUAAUGUAUAAAUUUCGUAAGAAUUACUCUGGGCGGUCAGCUGCAUAAUGGACAUAAAUAGGUACCCGUAUUACAUACCUAAUAUUAUUAUGAGCACUCGCAGUAGUUUUAAUCGCAGAUAGCUAUAGGCUUUCGAUUGAGCAUCUAGAUUCCAGACGACAUACUCGAAUUUUCUUUCUUAACUAUUUUCACCUGUUCAAGACUGCUAAUGGCAGCUUUGUCUAUAAUCUCUAGCGAUUUCUACUGGUCGCGGCUCCAAUACUCGAACAUUCGAAUUGUUACUCGCAUAGAUGAUUACCACACCGUUAUAUGGGAACAUAAUAGCUUCAGUUAUUAUUUGUCGCUAAUGGACAAUUAGCAAGUCAAUCUGUUUAUUUAUUUGUAUUCGGAGCAUUACAUGAGCUUGCAGAUUACAAUACUAAAACUCGUGCCUAUUUUUACUGUACUAAUUCGAUAGUGACAAUUUUUCCUCCGAAAUUUUUUGUCCGCGGAUCGUGAUAUGUGCUGCAAAUGUUUAAAAAAACAUUGCUAAUAUAAUUUGUUAUAGUUGUUUAUUAAAUUGCAUAAAAUACUUUUCUCAUUUGGCAAAUUAUAGUUGAUGAUAUUAUUGUUGCCUGUUAGUUGGGAUAUGUAUAGACAUGUACUAUCCACAUACAAUAUUGAUAGUACAUAACUAUAUAGAGUACAAAUUAAACAAGUAGGUACCCACACGGACGUUGCCAGGGGGAGUAGGGUAGGCUGUCAGCCAAUAUUUCCUUAUAGAUUAAACACAAGUACAUACUAUUGUAUGUGUUUUCUACUACUAUUGGGCCUGCCUUUAUGAAAUUUACGCUGCCCCCCUCUCUAUCAGAUUAAAAUUUAAGAGUUGCCUGCCCUGUGGGUCCCUAUGUAAAAUAGCUUGGUCCCAAAUAUUUGAUAAUAUUUAUUUAUACUGUAAAAUGAUAGUAAGUUAUUACAGUAAGGAUAUUCAUUAUGAGUCGCACAUUUGCCAUACUUUUUGUAGCUGUGUUGAAACAUCUAACGAUGUGAUUAGCUGUACCUAAUUAGGAAUUUGCUUGUAAGCUUAAUUUUUUAUACUACAUUGAUAUUGUUUUUAAUGAUCGGUCAUAUUACUGACUCAUGUGCUUAUCUCUAUUUACAAUAAUAUAUGAAAUAUUUAUGUUAUUAUUAGGUGUGGUUAGACUAUCACAGUUACUUAUAUCUUAAAAUAGUAUAAUUUUGCUAAACAUUCAAAGUUUAAAUAAUAGCAUUUACCUCUAUUUAAAAAUCAGUUAUUUUACAAAAGUAUUGUCAGUUUCAACUUAUACAUACCCAUUUAACAAACCUGACAUUUAUAUCGUUUUGCAUGAUUUGUUCUAUAAUAAUUAUGUGUUUAUAUUUUGGUAUAUAAUUUAUAAAAAAUCAUAAUAUGCUGCAAAUAUUCAUUUAACAUUAGAUUUCAUUAUUGUAGUUAUAUCCUCAUUAAUAAUAUUUUUGCCAAUCAUUUAAAUAAUAUUGAGUUAAAUAUGAUGUAAGUAUGGUAAAUUCUGCAUAUUUUUUAAAUAAUAUAAUAUGGUAGUUUACAAUGUUUAAGUCUAUAUCAAAAAUAAAAAUAAAAUUGCUUGUAUCUGAGUAUAUUUUGAACGCGCAAUUAAUUGUUCUUCGUAAUAUAGAUAUUUGUAGUUGACUUUUUGUUAUUUAAAUAAAUAUCUUAGUGUUGUAUUCUGUAUGUUAUACAUUUAUAUCAAACUUAAGUUAAUGAUACAAUUUUCUAAAGUAUGUGUCUGUUUCAAAUAUUUUAUAUGUAUAUGACGUCCAACUUUCAUAUAUACAUGUAAGAUCAAUAUCAAUGCGCUAUAGACCUAAAAUGUUUAUAGUAAACGUAGUAUUUCGACGUGAGGCCCCUUUUUAAUAAAGGUAGGUAUAAUAGGACAUUUUGGUAUCUUUAAUAGUUAUCUAGCGUAAUAACAUACAGACAGACGUAAAAUACUCAUUGUUUACCUAUAUACUUUUAUAGCUAAGUCUAAUACGUUCAAGACCCACAAUGUUACAAAAAUCAUCGGUGCAUUGUGACUUCUACGUCUAAGCAGAAAAAUAGGACACAUUGCUGCAACUGCUCUAUGUUUUGAUCAUGUUCAGUGUAAUCAAAGAUGAAACAACCAAAUAUUGCAGUAUAGAAGCAGUAAGGCCCAAUUCGAAUAACGGUUUGACAUUCUGUAGUCGGUAGUUUCAAUUGGCAGUUGCUACUAUAGUAGUAUUAUUGCCUUUAAUUAUAAUAAUAAUUGUUACACUCGCGGCUUGAUGGCAGAUAGUUUUGGCAUUUGAGUGAAAAAAGAAAUGUAUCAAAUUAUAUUGAAAGUUGGACGAGUUUCUUACAUUUGGCGAAUUAUAACAAUGUACAUUCACCAAUCGUCUGUCUUGUCCCAUUCGGGUCGUGCGAUCCCUGAUGACGGAGUUCCAUUCCAAUCGUUGUGAUUUUUUUUCACUAUGUUACAGAAAAAAAUUGGCUUGAUAUUUAAGACAUAUUUCGCUGGGAUGGUAUUAAGGUGACCACGAUAUCUCGUAAUUAUUAUGGCGUCAUUUGACUGGUUAUUUCAUCGUUUGCUAAUCGCAAGUGUUGAUUCUAGUAACGAAAGGUAGGUACGUUCUUUAUAUUGAGUGAUAACUUCUGUAUUAUACAGGUAGUUUGCUGCUGAAAAGAGAUUUUAUUAAAUCAUACUUUGUCAUUCACAAUGAUGAAAUACCUACAUAUAUGUAGGUAACAACAAUUCGUACGUUCAUAAUAUAAAAGAACGCACAUUUGAUUUGUAACUUUUAUGUUACAGAUCACCACGAUAGACCCUUAUAUAAGUAAGUAUAUGAAUAAAUAUUGUAUCAUAAAUUUAUAUGGAACUACGGGUUGUUUUUUCUCAUAAAAUCCAGCCCAAAAUCAGGUAUCUACGUACUCAGCGCCUCGCGCUAAAAUAUGAGUAGGAGGAUCUAUCAUAUUCGCACGCUUAAUAUUAUAGUAACCGAAUUAAAAAAAACAGCUUUUUGACAAAUAGCAAAGAAUGUUUUGCAUUCCAGACUUCGGCCAUUUAUGAUUUCUUAUGUUAUCGUACUUCUUAUUAAUAUUAAAAGUGCGAAAGUUGUAAGUAUGUCUUGAAGUUUGUUAGAAGUAAACUCAGAAAUAGUUGAGCGGAUUUAGAUGAAAUGUGGCACACGGGUAGACUAUGUACUGGAUUAAAUCCGUUCAACUGUUUCAGCGUUAAUUCUAACAAACAUAUAAGCUUUUUCUUAUUGGAUUGAGUUCGACAUACGGUUUACUGUAACUAACUCAUUUUGUAUUGUGUCACUGUAAUACCUUGAUAGGUAAAAUGUGUAACUGCAAUCAUGUUACCCAAAUUCAUAUUAUAUUUUCUGACCAGGCACUAUUGGAGAAUGUACGUUGUACUUAAUAUACUUAUUUUUUUUUUUUACUUUUAAAACCAAAUCCUACUGUUCUGCGAUUCAAUAGGCUGUGCAUUUUUUUGUAUAUUAUUACGAGUGUAUCCAUAUUUUAUUUUAUAAGUUUCUUACGUUAUAAUAUUUUCUUUAUGAAUUGUAAAAAAUCUAAUCAUUACAUAUUUUAUGUUACUUUGUAUUGAAGUUGAAUAAAUGUAUUACCAUGAGA